rnacentral:rRNA from 1 species
UACGGGGGGGGCAAGCGUUGUUCGGAAUUACUGGGCGUAAAGGGCUCGUAGGUGGCCAACUAAGUCGGACGUGAAAUCCCUCGGCUUAACCGGGGUACUGCGUCUGAUACUGGAUGGCUUGAGUUCGGGAGAGGGAUGCGGAAUUCCAGGUGUAGCGGUGAAAUGCGUAGAUAUCUGGAGGAACACCGGUGGCGAAGGCGGCAUCCUGGACCGACACUGACGCUGAGGAGCGAAAGCCAGGGGAGCAAACGGG